CUCGACUGGGCACACUGCGUACGAUUGUUUCCAUAUGAACUGACUGUUUUUUUUUAUACGGAGUGCGGAAAAAUGGUUUAAGCUUUUUAAGGACAAUUAUAUUUUAUAUAAGGGACUUGCGACUAUAACAGCCCAAAAAGGAGACCGAAAACACUUCCCUGGCGCCGCCUGAGCGUGGCCAGCACCGCCCUGUCCUGCUCCAAGUCCUCCCCCACUCUCGAGUUGUGCGCGAAAUCAAUUACAUCGUACCGCGCGUUGUGCUUACAACGUCGUAACGCGAAAAUCGAUUUCGGAUGCGGGCGCCGCAUGCAGAAGCAGCAACCAGAAUGUCCCACUGCAAUAUGGUUACGGAAAUAGACAUGACAUCGCCGUCGCACGCUCGCUGGCGGAUUGGUCUUCUUCUCUUCCUGGCCGGAUUAGCGCUGUGCAUCCCGGGCUGCUCGGCCACGGACACGGACAUUGCUUUGGAUGCCAAGGCCACGCUAAAUCACCGCAUCCAAAGCCUCGAUCUGCUCGUGUUCGUGUUUCUGCUAGCCCUCACUGUCCUCACCAUUUGGCUCUUUAAGCAUCAUCGCGUCUCCUGGUUGCACGAGACCGGCCUGGCUGUCAUCUAUGGUCUGAUUGUGGGUGCAAUUAUACGCUAUGCCGGCACCGCCAACACCCUCGUCCACAUGCAGGUGGAGCCGCAGGGUACGCCGACAUACAGUGAUAAGCUGCCGCCCGAUACGCUUUGGUUUAAGUACCCAGUUAAUCAGACGAACGGAACCAAGCUGCCGGAGGGCAUUAAGACGUACGCCUAUGUCUUUCGUGGCCAGGUGCACGACGUGGAUGAGAAUGAAAUCGAUUUGAAAGCCACCUUCGAUCCGGAAGUAUUCUUCAACAUCAUUCUGCCACCCAUCAUUUUCUACGCAGGAUACAGUUUAAAAAAGAAAUAUUUCUUCCGGAAUUUGGGGGCCAUCCUCACCUUUGCCAUUGUGGGCACCACGUUGUCGGCCUUUCUAAUCGGUGGCUUCAUGUACGGCUGUGUGAAGCUGAUGCCAAAGUACUUGAGCAGCAGCUUUACAUUCCUGGACACUUUAUACUUUGGAGCCCUGAUAUCGCCCACAGAUCCGCUCACCAUUCUGGCCAUAUUCAACGACCUUCGGGUCGAUGUUAAUCUGUAUGCGCUAGUCUUGGGCGAAUCUGUGCUCAACGAUGCGGUUGCCAUUGUCCUCAGUGGAGCCAUUCAGAACUAUGGCGAGCAUUAUUCCAACACGGGAGAAUUCGAAACCACAGCGUUCCUGCGUUCAUUAAGCGACUUCUUCUCCAUCUUUCUAUUGUCACUGAUGAUAGGCGCCGCCAUGGGCUGUUUGACAGCACUGAUGACUAAGUUUACGCGAGUGCGCGACUUUCCGUUGCUGGAGUCGGCGCUCUUCGUUCUGAUGAGCUAUAGCACCUUCCUGCUGGCCGAGGCCACGGAACUCACUGGAGUGGUGGCCGUGCUCUUCUGUGGCAUCUGCCAGGCUCACUACACCUACAACAAUCUAUCGGAAGACUCGAGGCAACGCACCAAGCAGAUCUUUGAGCUGCUCAAUUUUCUUGCAGAGAACUUCAUAUUUUCCUAUAUCGGUGUGUCGAUGUUUACCUUCCCCAAGCACCACUUUGAUGCUGGUUUCAUCAUAACCGCUUUCAUCUGUGCCGCUUUGGGACGUGCCGUGAACGUGUAUCCCUUAUCCUGGCUGCUCAACAUCAAGCGAAAGCCAAAAAUCUCACCAAAUUUCCAGCAUAUGCUGUUCUUUGCUGGCCUUCGCGGUGCCAUGUCCUUUGCCUUGGCCAUCCGGAAUACAGUGUCGGAUGCGCGACAGACAAUGCUAACUGCCACAUCGCUGAUUGUCAUAUUCACGGUGGUUAUACAGGGCGGUGCAGCCAAUUUUCUGCUCAAUUGGUUAAAAAUACCAGUUGGCGUCGACGAUGAGACUGAACAAUUAAAUAAUUAUCAAGUGCACAGUGUUUACAAUUCAAUGGACAAUUCACACCCGCAGACGUCUGAUGGUUAUUUACAGGACGUGGAGAACGGCGGCCGCGGGAAGUUGCGCAUGUCCGGGGGUACGGAAUCUAAUCUGGACACACCAGUGGAUGGGCCAAAUGGCAGCUUGGGCGGUGCCAGCGGAAGACGCCGCAACAGUCAUGAAAAGGCCAUUCUGGCCAGGAUCUGGGGAAGCUUCGAUACUAAGUACAUGAAGCCCUUGCUUACGCACUCGCGUCCCACUCUCCUCGAGACUCUGCCCGUUUGCUGCAAUCCCAUUGCCAGGCUGCUCACCACAACGCAGCAGCUGACGCAGGAUGGUAGCGAGUUCAGGCGCGUUGACUCCGACUCGGAUAUCUGCAUAGACAACGACACUGGGAACAAUGGGCUCAGUCAGCAGGACGGUGGUCCUGCGCCAGGGGCCAGCGUCGGGCGACGCAACUCACUCAGUCGCUCUAUCCAAUUGAACGAAGCCAGUAAUCACUUUGCGAAUGAACUCAGCCUGGUUACUAAUAAUUUCAUGUAAACAUUUACCCGGAACAUCGAGAGAUCCAACAACAAGUUGUUCAUAUUAUUUGUGUUUGUUUUUGGUUCCUGUCUAAUUUUCCUUGAUAAACCGAAUAUACUAUUGUAUGCGAAGCACAGAUGCAGAGCCCCAGAGUCUAAAUAACCAAUUAACAAAGGCUUCUUAUAGCGCACAGAGCAGUUGAGAAUGUUCGUUUUAAUUUCUGUAUUUGUUUCUCGUACUCUAAUUUCUUAGAUUCUAACACGCGACUAACCAUGUUAGAGCGAGUGAGCAGCGAAAUGUGUAUAUAUAAGUUAAAUUAUUUGAAAGUUUCCUUUGUUGUUAUUUAUUUGAAAAUUGGUCUCAUACAAAAAAUGUACAAAUUAGAUUAUUACCCUUCAGUUUACCCUUGUGAUUUGUAACAUUAGAUGUAAAAGUAAAUUAAAUAUCAAGUUUUCAGUUAAUUUAAACGAUUAAAGGCGCAGUUAUAAGGAUAUUAAAGCUGAGAAGGCUUACACACACACGAA